CCCAUAGUACUCACAAAGUGGAAGAGCCAUAGAGAAUUCUGAUUUGUAUAGCUUUGGACUUCUCCUUUUACAGCUUGUGACAGGUCAAAAGGUUCAAACCUGAAACUAAAGAGAACGAUGAUGCCACACCAAAUUCAACAGUCGAUUAGUUGCGAAUUUAGUUGAUAUUGUUUCAAAUUCUUCUGGCUCAGCUCAUGCUCCAAUUAAGGAAAAUGUGGAUGAUCCAAUUUGGAAUUGGAGUGGCCACAAGUAAAUUUGAUUUAAGGAAGGGAAUGAUGAAGGCUUUUUGAACAAUUGUGAUGUUUGAAUUUAUGUUUAGUUUUGUGGAAGUUAUUUCUAGUGCACAUCUUGAAAUAUUGCUUUAUUAGUGUGUAGUAAAAGACAUGUUGUUCUUUCGAAGUUUAUUGCAAAUUUAUACAUUUGAUUAUUAUUAUUAAGUUAUUUAUUAGCCAAUUUAGUGCUUGAGAUCCUCAUCUAAACGGGAUAUUAAUGUAUGAUUUGGUUACUGGAUUUAUGUAAAAUAUAAUUACGGUGAAUAAAUAUUUUCAUAGC